rnacentral:rRNA from 1 species
CAGAUACCGCCCUAGUUCUGACCGUAAACGAUGCCAACUAGCGAUCCGCCAGUCGACUCAUCGCUCUGGUGGGGAGCUUCCCGGAAACGAAAGUCUUCCGGUUCCGGGGGAAGUAUGGUUGCAAAGCUGAAACUUAAAGGAAUUGACGGAAGGGCACCACCAGGAGUGGAGCCUGCGGCUUAAUUUGACUCAACACGGGGAAACUCACCCGGCCCGGACACCGUAAGGAUUGACAGAUUGAUAGCUUUUUCAUGAUUCGGUGGAUGGUGGUGCAUGGCCGUUCUUAGUUCGUGGAGCGAUUUGUCUGGUUUAUUCCGAUAACGAGCGAGACUCUGGCCUACUAAAUAGUUGGCACAUUGCCACUGUGUGCACAACUUCUUAGAGGGAUUUUCGGUGUUCAGCCGCACGAAAUUGAGCAAUAACAGGUCUGUGAUGUCCUUAGAUGUCCGGGGCUGCACGCGCGCUACACUGGCAAAAUCAGCGUGCUUGUCCUCCCCCGAAAGGGGUUGGUAAACCGAUGAAAAUUUGCCGUGAUUGGGAUCGGACAUUGCAAUUAUUGUCCGUGAACGAGGAAUCCCUUGUAAGGGCGAGUCAUCAACUCGUCCUGAAUACGUCCCUGCCCU